UACGUAGGGGGCAAGCGUUGUCCGGAAUCAUUGGGCGUAAAGCGCGUGUAGGCGGCCCGGUAAGUCCGCUGUGAAAGUCGGGGGCUCAACCCUCGGAUGCCGGUGGAUACUGUCGGGCUAGAGUGCGGGAGAGGCGAGUGGAAUUCCUGGUGUAGCGGUGAAAUGCGUAGAGAUGUGGAGGAACACCAGUGGCGAAGGCGGCUUUCUGGUCUGUAACUGACGCUGAGGCGCGAAAGCGUGGGGAGCAAACAGG
rnacentral:rRNA from 1 species